UUGGAAUUGAAGGAGCAGAGACUCACACAGGGAAGGAGAAAGAGAGAGAAUAAAAGACAAUAUAAUAAGAAGUUUAAGAAACAUUAACCUGAUUGAUGUCAAAACAAGAUGUUUAAUAGAGAGAGAAAGGACAAGGAUUUUGAAAGAUCGGCUGGUAGUCUAAGUUUAACAGAGAGGAAGGACAAGGAUUUUGGAGCUAUUUAUACUUUAUGUAAAAUCGCUGACUCGAACUAACUUUUUAUCAACUUUAUCGAAUUUGCACAAGUCAAGUCCGAUUUUACUGGUUUUUAAUUUUGUUGUUUGAUUUUGCAAGUAGAUACAAAUUAACUUAUAAAAUCAUACGAUCUUAUGAUUUGACAACAAUAAAAAUAUUAUUGAGCAUCUUCAGAAUGGUUAGUCGCUGCUUCUAAAGGAAUGGUAGUGAUUCUCUACCACCACCACUAUCACAAUUAUUAUUGUUAUUGUUGUAGUUUAAGUUGGAAUGCUGAAUGUUUUUAUCUUUAUUUUUAUUGUUUUUGGUUAUUGUAUAUAAUUUAUAAUUGGAGCUGUUUAAUAAUGAUGUUGACCUUGUUUAUGUUUGUUUGUUUAUCUUCGCAUACUUUUUAAUUUGUUUCUUAUGCUUGUGUCUUUGAGUUAUAAAAUAUGUCAAGGGUGUAAAAUUAGACUGGCAUUAGCACCUAAUGUUUAAGCAAGCUUCACUGUUAUGUCCACAGGGGUGUGUAACCAUGCAUUUCACUUUCACUGCAUCAGCCGAUGGCUCAAGACUCGUCAAGUGUGCCCAUUGGAUAAUAGUGAGUGGGAGUUUCAGAAGUAUGGCCACUAGAACGUUUGGAGCACCAUUCAUGCUUGUGUUCAAUGGUGUCAAGAAGAAUACCUGGAUUCCUGACUUCUAAGCGCUUUACCUCAUGUUUGUUCGACUUAUACUCUUAUUUUUUUUAAUUAAAAUUCACAAUUUCACACAUACUGGGCGCAAUUUUUAAUAGUAUCAAUCAAAAAGUCAGUCUGUUAGGGUGGAUGCAAGAUUUUUUUUAUUUUUUUUUUUGUUUCCCUCUUGGAUAAAACUGUUUGACGGGUAUGCCUUUCUUGUUUGUUGAUGUCUCGCAUGCAUGUUCAUGGGAAAGUCUUCUUGAUGUACUAAAUAGAUUAAUUCAUGCUAUUGCAGCUGAUCAUCGAUUCUGGUUC